CGUAGGUGGCAAGCGUUGUCCGGAUUUAUUGGGUUUAAAGGGUGCGUAGGCGGUGAUUUAAGUCAGUGGUGAAAUACUUCAGCUUAACUGGAGAGGUGCCAUUGAUACUGGGUCACUUGAGUACUGAUGAGGUAGGCGGAAUGGACGGUGUAGCGGUGAAAUGCUUAGAUAUCGUCCAGAACACCGAUAGCGAAGGCAGCUUACUAAGGAGUAACUGACACUGAGGCACGAAAGUGUGGGGAUCAAACAGGAUUAGAUACCCUGGUAGUCCACACUGUAAACGAUGAUCACUCGAUGUUGGCGAUACACAGCCAGCGUCUUAGCAAAAGCGAUAAGUGAUCCACCUGGGGAGUACGCCGGCAACGGUG
rnacentral:rRNA from 1 species